UACAGAGGUCUCAAGCGUUGUUCGGAUUCAUUGGGCGUAAAGGGUGCGUAGGUGGCGAGGCAAGUCUGGUGUGAAAUCCCGGGGCUCAACCCCGGAACUGCACUGGAUACUACUUUGCUAGAGUACUGGAGAGGAGAUUGGAAUUUACGGUGUAGCAGUGAAAUGCGUAGAUAUCGUAAGGAAGACCAGUGGCGGAGGCGAAUCUCUGGACAGUUACUGACACUGAGGCACGAAGGCCAGGGGAGCAAACGGG
rnacentral:rRNA from 1 species